UUUUUUGAAAUGAUGCUUUUAUGAGAUAGAGCUUUUUUAGAUAAUGCUUUUUUAGAUAAUGCUGGGGAAGGUUUUCCGGUUUAUCUCGGAGGGCUUGUAGCUCAGUUGGUUAGAGCGCGCGCUUGAUAAGCGUGAGGUCGGAGGUUCAAGUCCUCCCAGGCCCACCAAUUUACCUAUCCAUUUGCUUUUAUCCGUUUAUUUGCCGAUUUAUCGGUCCAUUGAAUUUAAGUGUUGGUAGCGGUUUUUAUAAUGAUGAGAAAUCAUGCUUAUAAAAGAACUCCUUAUAAAAGGCUUGUUUUUAAAAUGUGACGCUUAUCCAUUUCGCUUAGGCAAGAGAAACUUCAAGCGGUUCAAAUGCAAAAGGCUUUAAAUUUUGCAAAACAAUUUGAAUUUUGCAAAACAAUUUGAAUUUUAAAGUGAUCCAAGUUCGUGAUCUCGAAUUUAAAAGUUUCGAAUGCUUUAUCCUUUUUUGGGG
rnacentral:misc_RNA from 1 species